GUGGGAGCAAAGCUUGCUCGCGAUAGCGGUGGGUCUGUGGCAUUUCUGGUGAGUGUGGCAUUGCAUCGCGAGCAAGCUUUGCUCCCAC
rnacentral:misc_RNA from 1 species